AUUGAACGCUGGCGGCAGGCCUAACACAUGCAAGUCGAAUGGUAACAGGAAACAGCUUGCUGUUUCGCUGACGAGUGGCGGACGGGUGAGUAAUGUCUGGGAAACUGCCUGAUGGAGGGGGAUAACUACUGGAAACGGUAGCUAAUACCGCAUAACGUCGCAAGACCAAAGAGGGGGACCUUCGGGCCUCUUGCCAUCAGAUGUGCCCAGAUGGGAUUAGCUAGUAGGAGGGGUAACGGCUCACCUAGGCGACGAUCCCUAGCUGGUCUGAGAGGAUGACCAGCCACACUGGAACUGAGACACGGUCCAGACUCCUACGGGAGGCAGCAGUGGGGAAUAUUGCACAAUGGGCGCAAGCCUGAUGCAGCCAUGCCGCGUGUAUGAAGAAGGCCUUCGGGUUGUAAAGUACUUUCAGCGGGGAGGAAGGGAGUAAAGUUAAUACCUUUGCUCAUUGACGUUACCCGCAGAAGAAGCACCGGCUAACUCCGUG
rnacentral:rRNA from 1 species